AUUGAACGCUGGCGGAAUGCUUUACACAUGCAAGUCGAACGGCAGCACGGACUUCGGUCUGGUGGCGAGUGGCGAACGGGUGAGUAAUGUAUCGGAACGUGCCCAGUCGUGGGGGAUAACGUAGUGAAAAUUACGCUAAUACCGCAUACGAUCUAUGGAUGAAAGCGGGGGAUCGCAAGACCUCGCGCGAUUGGAGCGGCCGAUAUCAGAUUAGGUAGUUGGUGGGGUAAAGGCCCACCAAGCCAACGAUCUGUAGCUGGUCUGAGAGGACGACCAGCCACACUGGAACUUGGACACGGCCCAGACUCCUACGGGAGGCAGCAGUGGGGAAUUUUGGACCAUGGGCGAAAGCCUGCUCCAGCCAUUCCGCGUGCAGGAUGAAGGCCCUCGGGUUGUAAACUGCUUUUGUACAGAACGACAAGGUUUCUACUAAUACUAGGAGCUCAUGACGGUACUGUAAGAAUAAGCACCGGCUAACUACGUGCCAGCCGCCGCCGUAA
rnacentral:rRNA from 1 species